GGAUCUGAUUUCGAUCCUCGAUCUUUGGUUUAGGUUCUGAGGAGGCUAUUGAUGGUGGAGGCGGCUCUGGUUGUGUGGACUGCACUUUUUUUGCCUUUUCCUUUCUUGGAUGAAAAUAGAUUUUGCAGAACUGAUGGCGAGGGAAGCGGCGGAGGAGGCGGUGGUGAUGGCGGUGGUAAUGACGAUGUUGAAGCGCGUUGGGAGGCG
rnacentral:misc_RNA from 1 species